rnacentral:rRNA from 1 species
AACGAACGCUGGCGGCAGGCUUAACACAUGCAAGUCGAGCGCCCCGCAAGGGGAGCGGCAGACGGGUGAGUAACGCGUGGGAAUCUACCCAUCUCUACGGAAUAAUGCAUGGAAACGUGUGCUAAUACCGUAUACGUCCUUCGGGAGAAAGAUUUAUCGGAGAUGGAUGAGCCCGCGUUGGAUUAGCUAGUUGGUGGGGUAAAGGCCUACCAAGGCGACGAUCCAUAGCUGGUCUGAGAGGAUGAUCAGCCACACUGGGACGGAGACACGGCCCAGACUCCUACGGGAGGCAGCAGUGGGGAAGAUUGGACAAUGGGCGCAAGCCUGAUCCAGCCAUGCCGCGUGAGUGAUGAAGGCCCUAGGGUUGUAAAGCUCUUUCACCGGUGAAGAUAAUGACGGUAACCGGAGAAGAAGCCCCGGCUAACUUCGUGCCAGCCGCCGCAGUAACAC